AUGUGGCAGAGUAUAUUGUCUGGUCUCAACACUUUUAAUAAGGGGGCGAUAUGGCGUGUUGGAGAUGGGCAUCAGAUUGAGAUCUGGGAGGAUGCAUGGCUUCCAUGUAGUAAUUCUGGAAGGGUAUUAACACCUAAGGGUCAUUGCUUACUAAAAUAUGUCUAUGAACUGAUUGAUCCUUGCACAGGGAGAUGGGAUGUUGAUCUGAUUCGUAGUAUCUUUUGGGAGGUUGAUGUCCAACAAAUUUUGGCGAUUCCAUUGAGUCAGCAUGGUAUGGGCGAUUUUGUGGCAUGGAAAUUUAACAAGAAUGGCCUCUUUUCAGUUCGAUCCGCAUAUCAUGUGGAGUGGGAAUCGACAUUCGGUGUAUCCAUGGAACGAUCGGAUGGGGCCGGAUCAUCAGGUUUAAACAAUGUUUGGAGAGACAUGUGGAAAUGUGCAGUGCCAGCAAAGGUGAAAAUUUUCGCCUAGAAAUGUUUACAUGGCAUUCUUCCUUGUUAUGGUGUAUUGGCCAACUGUCAUAUUAUGAAUAAUUGCCUGUGCCCGGUCUGCAAAAAAUAUUGCGAGGAUAUUAAGCAUGUUCUAUUUCAGUGUGCGGAAGCAAAGGAAAUCUGGGUCAAACUCGGUUUGAUAGAAGUGGUCAAAGAAGCUUGCGAGGUUGAUCAGUCUGGUAGUGCUGUUCUGGAUUAUUUGUUAGCAGGGAGGUUUAAGAAUCCAAUUGAUGCAUCUGUGAAGUACAUAAAAGAAACAAUUUUGACAUCGGCUUGGUACAUUUGGUGGAGAAGAAGACAGACGGUCCGUGCAGAAAGUUUGCAGUCCUUGUCACAUGCAGCGCUAUCAAUUCAAGUUUUGGUGUCAAAUUUUGUUAAAGCAUCAGGUAAAGAGUCCCAACCAAAGUCGAGUAUCUGGAAGAGGGCGACUACUGGAUUUAUCUCUGUAAAUGUUGAUGCAAAGUUUGAUAUUGACUUGGGCUCUGGAGCUACGGGCGUGGUGAUUAGAGAUGAUAAGGGAAGAUUUCUAGCAGCAGGCUCCCAGAUCAUUCCCUUCGCAAUAGAUGCGGCAACUACUGCACAAGCAGUUUUGGACGGAAUUCAUCUUGCAAACCAACUUGGGUGUCAGAAAUUGGCAAUCCAAUCAGAUUGUUCAGAAGUUAUUAAUAUUCUUCAGAAUGGGGGUUUUUCUGCGACAACUGCAGCGCCAAUAUUCGAGGACAUAUGUAUACAGGCAAGCUCGUUCGGCAACGUUCAGUUCACAUAUUGUCCAAGGGAAGCGAACCGUGUCGCACAUACGCUAGCCCAGGAGUGUAAUUCAGAGAAGUGUUUUUGGGUUGAUGACCCCCCUAGCUUUAUUUUAUCGUUGUUAAUUGACAAUGUUAGUGUGAUUUAA
rnacentral:rRNA from 1 species